GCCUUGGUGGUUCAGUGGUGGAAUUCUCACCUCCCACGUGGGAGACCUGGGUUCGGUUCCCAGCCAGUGCA
rnacentral:tRNA from 1 species